CAGUGCAAGGUUUUCCUGAAGCUCAAUCAGCUCUGAUUGAAAAGAAGCAGCACUAGCCCAUGGGCAGACCUUCAGGGCUUCAAUUGAGAAUUCUGUUAUAUUUUUCAACAGGAAUGGAUUUUCAAUGCACAGUAAUGGUGCGUUUUAAUAUCCAUCCGUCUCGGAGCUCCGAGGACGUUGCCUAGCGACAUGCACAAACACGCCCCUUUUCCUCGGAAGUCGAACUCGCCAUCUCGUUUGAACUCAGCGGUGACCGAGCGAGGCUUCCGAGAUAGAAUUGAAGAUGGAUGCGCCCAGUGUGACAUUGUUUGUUGAUCAGAGCAACAUGCUGAUGUACUGGGAGCAGGAGAGGACCCGUCCCUUUCCUGGGCCCUUGUUUCAAAAACAAGAUAACCCAGGCACAUACUACUUGGACCAGGGGCUCAGGCAUUCCGUUAGCUUGGUGUGCAUUCAAAGCACAGCUCCCGCCCCUCUGCCUGCCACUGACCCACUGCCUUCAAAUGCCCCACUGCCCACUGUCACCGAGACUUUCCUGAAAGACCACACCCUAUACCUAAUUGACCUCAUGCGGCUGCAAUUAGAGGCAGAGGGUAGGGGCCCUCCCAGGUCCCUCCAGGACCUGAGCCAGCGCCUGAAGCUGGUCAGGAACUCGAAGAAGCUGCUGUGGGAGGAGAUUGCUGGCAAGCUGACCGACGAUUUUAAAUGUACCUUUUCCCCAGACAAGGUAGCUCGUAAGUGGAACACGUUAGUGGAGGCAUAUAAAAAAGUAAAGGACCACAAUUCGUCCACAGGGAGGGGUCCUGGUAAAUUUCAGUUUUUUCCGAGAUGGAUGACCUCAUGGGAGGUCACCAUGACAUAGUCUUCCCUGUUGUGGGAACAGCCAUGGGCCUGGAUGUGCGCAGGCCAGGUGCCCUGCAGGCCCUGCAGGUCAGUGUGUCUGCACCAGAUGCCUCACCUUCCUCGUCCACCAGUGCCGUCGCUCCAGCUCAAUCUGGAACUCCAUCACCUCCUCCGUCAUCCCGCGGUGCUCCUCGCACAGCUACCACCAUGCCCCCUGCUAACACCCCAAGGAGGCCACGCAAGCGCCAGAGGGAGGAGGACCUGUUGACGUUCCUUAGGGAGUCUGAGGCAGCCUCCCAAGCGGCCGCCCAAAAACGGCACGCUGAGACCCUUGCCCAAAUGAAGGAAGCCCAGGAGGGGCUCCAGAGUUUGCUUGGCCAGAUGGUGGCGAAGAUGUAAAAUAGAUGUCAAAUAAUUGUUUAUUUUUCAUUGGAAAAUGUUAAUGUGUUAAUGUAUUUUGGUUAAUGUUCAAAUUUUUUAUAGAUAUUAUAUGUUUUAUUUUAUAUUAUAUGUAAUUUGAUAUAUUUUAUUUUAACUUUUCCCUGUUAUGUUGUUUGUCCGUGGGCCCUGUUUUGUUAAGAGGAAAAAUGCACACUUCUGUGCAAUAGCAAUUGUUUAAUAAAAUCUAUUUUGAAAAAAAAAACACUGGCCUGUGAAGCAUUAAAUUUAACACUUUGUAUUACAACGCC
ensembl:lncRNA